rnacentral:rRNA from 1 species
GACGAACGCUGGCGGCGUGCCUAAUACAUGCAAGUCGAGCGAUGAUUAAAGAUAGCUUGCUAUUUUUAUGAAGAGCGGCGAACGGGUGAGUAACGCGUGGGAAAUCUGCCGAGUAGCGGGGGACAACGUUUGGAAACGAACGCUAAUACCGCAUAACAAUGUGAAUCGCAUGAUUCUUAUUUGAAAGAAGCAAUUGCUUCACUACUUGAUGAUCCCGCGUUGUAUUAGCUAGUUGGUAGUGUAAAGGACUACCAAGGCGAUGAUACAUAGCCGACCUGAGAGGGUGGUCGGCACACUGGGACUGAGACACGGCCCAGACUCCUACGGGAGGCAGCAGUAGGGAAUCUUCGGCAAUGGGGGCAACCCUGACCGAGCAACGCCGCGUGAGUGAAGAAGGUUUUCGGAUCGUAAAACUCUGUUGUUAGAGAAGAACGUUAAGUAGAGUGGAAAAUUACUUAAGUGACGGUAUCUAACCAGAAAGGGACGGCUAACUACGUGCCAGCAGCCGCAGUAA